UGGGGAAUAUUGGACAAUGGGCGAAAGCCUGAUCCAGCCAUGCCGCGUGUGUGAAGAAGGUCUUCGGAUUGUAAAGCACUUUAAGUUGGGAGGAAGGGCAGUAAGCUAAUACCUUGCUGUUUUGACGUUACCGACAGAAUAAGCACCGGCUAACUCUGUGACAG
rnacentral:rRNA from 1 species